rnacentral:rRNA from 1 species
AGUGGCGUAAGGGUGAGUAACGCGUGGGCAAUCUACUCCCGAGACAGGUAUAACCUAUCGAGAGGUAGGCUAAUACCAGAUAAGAUUACUGAGAGGCAUCUCUCGAUAAUAAAAGGUAGCUUAAUCCGCUUUAGUGUGGAUGCUGUCGCUUGGGAAGGAGCCUGCGUCCCAUUAGCUAGUUGGUAGAGUAAUAGCCUACCAAGGCGACGAUGGGUAGCCGACCUGAGAGGGUGACCGGCCACACUGGGACUGAGACACUGCCCAGACUCCUACGGGGGGCUGCAGUCGAGAAUCUUUCGCAAUGGACGAAAGUCUGACGAAGCGACGCCGCGUGAGCGAUGAAGGUCUUCGGAUUGUAAAGCUCUGUCACCAGGGAAGAAAAUAGCCUGAUGAAUAGUCAGGUGACUUGACGGUACCUGGAGAGGAAGCCCCGGCUAACUCCGUGCCAGCAGCCGCGGUAAGACGGAGGGGGCAAGCGUUGUUCGGAUUUAUUGGGCGUAAAGAGCGUGUAGGUGGUUAUUUAAGUCGGGCGUGAAAGCCUCUGGCUCAACCAGAGACCGUCGCUCGAAACUGGAUAACUAGAGGGUAGGAGAGGAGAGUGGAAUUCCUGGUGUAGCGGUGACAUGUGUAGAUAUCAGGAGGAACACCGAUGGCGAAGGCAGCUCUCUGGNCUACUACUGACACUGAGUACGCNAAAGCGUGGGGAGCAAACAGGAUUANAUACCCUGGUAGUCCACGCUGUAAACGAUGGGCACUAGGUGUAUCCGCCUUGGGCGNANGUGCCGUANCUGACGCNUUAAGUGNCCCGCCUGGGGAGUACGGUCGCAAGGCUGAACUCAAAU